UACGAAGGGGGCUAGCGUUGCUCGGAAUUACUGGGCGUAAAGCGCACGUAGGCGGCUCUUUAAGUCGGGGGUGAAAUCCUGGAGCUCAACUCCAGAACUGCCUUCGAUACUGUAGAGCUUGAGUUCGGGAGAGGUGAGUGGAACUGCGAGUGUAGAGGUGAAAUUCGUAGAUAUUCGCAAGAACACCAGUGGCGAAGGCGGCUCACUGGCCCGAUACU
rnacentral:rRNA from 1 species